GGUUAAGCGACUAAGCGUACACGGUGGAUGCCCUGGCAGUCAGAGGCGAUGAAGGACGUGCUAAUCUGCGAAAAGCGUCGGUAAGGUGAUAUGAACCGUUAUAACCGGCGAUGUCCGAAUGGGGAAACCCAGUGCAAUUCGUUGCACUAUCGUUAACUGAAUACAUAGGUUAACGAGGCGAACCGGGGGAACUGAAACAUCUAAGUACCCCGAGGAAAAGAAAUCAACCGAGAUUCCCCCAGUAGCGGCGAGCGAACGGGGAGCAGCCCAGAGUCUGAAUCAGCUUGUGUGUUAGUGGAACGGUCUGGAAAGUCCGACGGUACAGGGUGAUAGUCCCGUACACCAAAAUGCACAGGUUGUGAACUCGAAGAGUAGGGCGGGACACGUGGUAUCCUGUCUGAAUAUGGGGGGACCAUCCUCCAAGGCUAAAUACUCCUGACUGACCGAUAGUGAACCAGUACCGUGAGGGAAAGGCGAAAAGAACCCCGGCGAGGGGAGUGAAAAAGAACCUGAAACCGUGUACGUACAAGCAGUGGGAGCACCUUCGGGGGGGUGUGACUGCGUACCUUUUGUAUAAUGGGUCAGCGACUUAUAUUCUGUAGCAAGGUUAACCGUAUAGGGGAGCCGCAGGGAAACCGAGUCUUAACUGGGCGUUAAGUUGCAGGGUAUAGACCCGAAACCCGGUGAUCUAGCCAUGGGCAGGUUGAAGGUUGGGUAACACUAACUGGAGGACCGAACCGACUAAUGUUGAAAAAUUAGCGGAUGACUUGUGGCUGGGGGUGAAAGGCCAAUCAAACCGGGAGAUAGCUGGUUCUCCCCGAAAGCUAUUUAGGUAGCGCCUCGUGAAUUCAUCUUCGGGGGUAGAGCACUGUUUCGGCUAGGGGGUCAUCCCGACUUACCAACCCGAUGCAAACUACGAAUACCGAAGAAUGUUAUCACGGGAGACACACGGCGGGUGCUAACGUCCGUCGUGAAGAGGGAAACAACCCAGACCGCCAGCUAAGGUCCCAAAGUCAUGGUUAAGUGGGAAACGAUGUGGGAAGGCACAGACAGCCAGGAUGUUGGCUUAGAAGCAGCCAUCAUUUAAAGAAAGCGUAAUAGCUCACUGGUCGAGUCGGCCUGCGCGGAAGAUGUAACGGGGCUAAACCAUGCACCGAAGCUGCGGCAGCGACACUAUGUGUUGUUGGGUAGGGGAGCGUUCUGUAAGCCUGCGAAGGUGACCUGUGAGGGUUGCUGGAGGUAUCAGAAGUGCGAAUGCUGACAUAAGUAACGAUAAAGCGGGUGAAAAGCCCGCUCGCCGGAAGACCAAGGGUUCCUGUCCAACGUUAAUCGGGGCAGGGUGAGUCGACCCCUAAGGCGAGGCCGAAAGGCGUAGUCGAUGGGAAACAGGUUAAUAUUCCUGUACUUGGUGUUACUGCGAAGGGGGGACGGAGAAGGCUAUGUUAGCCGGGCGACGGUUGUCCCGGUUUAAGCAUGUAGGCUGGUUAUCCAGGCAAAUCCGGAUAAUCAAGGCUGAGGUGUGAUGACGAGGCACUACGGUGCUGAAAACAAAAAUGCCCUGCUUCCAGGAAAAGCCUCUAAGCAUCAGGUAACAUUAAAUCGUACCCCAAACCGACACAGGUGGUCAGGUAGAGAAUACCAAGGCGCUUGAGAGAACUCGGGUGAAGGAACUAGGCAAAAUGGUGCCGUAACUUCGGGAGAAGGCACGCUGGUGUGUAGGUGAAGCCCCUGCGGGUGGAGCUGAGACCAGUCGAAGAUACCAGCUGGCUGCAACUGUUUAUUAAAAACACAGCACUGUGCAAACACGAAAGUGGACGUAUACGGUGUGACGCCUGCCCGGUGCCGGAAGGUUAAUUGAUGGGGUUAUCCGUAAGGAGAAGCUCUUGAUCGAAGCCCCGGUAAACGGCGGCCGUAACUAUAACGGUCCUAAGGUAGCGAAAUUCCUUGUCGGGUAAGUUCCGACCUGCACGAAUGGCGUAAUGAUGGCCAGGCUGUCUCCACCCGAGACUCAGUGAAAUUGAACUCGCUGUGAAGAUGAAGAUGCAGUGUACCCGCGGCAAGACGGAAAGACCCCGUGAACCUUUACUAUAGCUUGACACUGAACAUUGAGCCUUGAUGUGUAGGAUAGGUGGGAGGCUUUGAAGCGUGGACGCCAGUCUGCGUGGAGCCAACCUUGAAAUACCACCCUUUAAUGUUUGAUGUUCUAACGUUGGCCCCUGACCGGGGUUGCGGACAGUGUCUGGUGGGUAGUUUGACUGGGGCGGUCUCCUCCCAAAGCGUAACGGAGGAGCACGAAGGUUAGCUAAUCCUGGUCGGACAUCAGGAGGUUAGUGCAAUGGCAUAAGCUAGCUUGACUGCGAGCGUGACGGCGCGAGCAGCAGGUGCGAAAGCAGGUCAUAGUGAUCCGGUGGUUCUGAAUGGAAGGGCCAUCGCUCAACGGAUAAAAGGUACUCCGGGGAUAACAGGCUGAUACCGCCCAAGAGUUCAUAUCGACGGCGGUGUUUGGCACCUCGAUGUCGGCUCAUCACAUCCUGGGGGGUGAAGUAGGUCCCAAGGGUAUGGCUGUUCGCCAUUUAAAGUGGUACGCGAGCUGGGUUUAGAACGUCGUGAGACAGUUCGGUCCCUAUCUGCCGUGGGCGCUGGAGAAUUGAGGGGGGCUGCUCCUAGUACGAGAGGACCGGAGUGGACGCAUCACUGGUGUUCGGGUUGUCAUGCCAAUGGCACUGCCCGGUAGCUAAAUGCGGAAGAGAUAAGUGCUGAAAGCAUCUAAGCACGAAACUUGCCCCGAGAUGAGUUCUCCCUGAGACUUUAAGUCUCCUGAAGGAACGUUGAAGACGACGACGUUGAUAGGCCGGGUGUGUAAGCGCAGCGAUGCGUUGAGCUAACCGGUACUAAUGAACCGUGAGGCUUAACCUU
rnacentral:rRNA from 1 species